ACACAUGAGAAUUCCAAUCAAAAUCAGGAUUGAGAUUAUGUGAUAAAAGAUGUUUAGAUCCAAAAAAAACUUCUAUUUUUAUUACCUCCAACUCGAAUUCAACACAAGGAAUCCACUUGUUGCGGAGAAGGUAGUCGACUUCCUUACCCAAUUCAACUUCGGUAAGGUCAGGAAGGUAAGAGAGGGUCUCAAACUUCUUCUUUCCAACUGGUGGCCACACCUACGAAACGUAUUUCCAAUUAAUGAAUAUUAGUUCACUUUUGUAUAUACUGUUUAACGAUUCUAGGUAUCUAAAUGUACUUUUGAAUAGGAUUCUGUUCGAAUCUACCAGUUGCGUGUAAUAAAAGACAAGCCUAGCUCUAGACUCUCUAGUGACAUUUACCUUCAUGCAGCUAACUCUUCCUCCGUUGCUAACGAUGGAGGUAAUGUCAUUGUUGGCCUUGCGGGUGACUGGGAAUGCAGAGGAAGACUUCAAGCCGGUGAAUGGAGCGACCAUGGUGGCUUGAGCCGGUGAGGUAACCACAGCUGCGGAGGAGAGCAUAGAGGAAGCCAUUACUACUUCUUCUUCUUCUUCUUUUUUCUUAACUUACUUGUCUGUCUAUUGCUUCGGUUAUCUAUAUAUAGUGAGAAGCGCAAGAGGUAUAAAGCCCUAAUGAUCGAAGGAUCAAAAUUUCAUGAUAUCGUCGUUAACUGCCACAGGAUUAAAGAAAGGUGUAGAAAUAACAUUAUCUUAUCUUAUCUUGUAAGAAAACGUAUGAAUGUGUAUGGUUACUCGUCUCAACUUGAGCCAAUGCUUUUGGCUCCUUCCUAUUAAGAGAGGACAAUUCUGACGCAUGAUCUACAUUUCAAUGUUCGCGGACCUUCUAUUUAUAUGAAUUAGUUUCGCUUAAUUUGAUUAGGUUCAUUAUUAAAUUCACAAUUGAAAUUACUAUACGAAAUGUACUUGAAUUAUACAUGUAUGUCGUACUAAUUAACUUAUGAGUAAUGAGACUACUGUAAUGGUCAUGUCCAUAUUCAAACGAACAAAAACAAAAGAAUAGUGGGUCCGAUUGGUAAGUUAAAAGUAAAACCGUAUAAAAACUGUUACUUUUUUUUUUUGACACGAAAAACAAACUGUUACUUAAUAGUUAAAAACUAUAAACUAAAUCAAUAAAAGUGGUACCAAAACACUAAAUGUAACGUUUUUAGGUAAUGCUUUGUGCAUCUCUCUGUGAUGGGUAACUUCCUGCGGAUUCAGGUAGUUCGGUUCGACUAAAAUCUUGUUGAACAUAAAAAAAAUUCAGUUCAGUUUGGUAUUUGGGUAGUUUGGUUUUUAAAAUUUUACCGAAACUAACUAAAGUUUUUGGUUCUGAUUAUAUUUCGGUUAAAAAUUUGGGUAAAAUUGGUUAAUUCGGUUAAUUCUGUUAGUUUGGUUAAUUCGGUCCAAUGUUUUGGUUUGGUUAAUUCUGUUAGUUCGGUUCAAAAUUUUGAGUAAUUUUAGGUAGCUUGGUUACUUCGAUUCAAAAUUUUGGUUAGCUAGGUUAGUUCGGAUUGAAAUUUGGGAACAAAAUUUUUUUUGAAACCGAUUACCGAACAGAACGAGCCAAAAACCAUUUUCUUAUAAACAGGCUGAACCAAACAUGCUGAACAGAACCGAACUUCUCAAUUAAAUGAAAUUUCGGAUGCCUUAAUCGGAAUGAUACAAGAUUACCAAUUAUAUUUAGCUCUGGUCAGAUAGUGUUGUAUUUUUUAUGAUUUUUUUAAUGAAUGUAAAAGUUAUUAAUCCAAAAAAUCAUCCUUACAUUGAAAGCAAUGUUUUAUAAGAUUAAGUUUCGGUUAAAUGUAAGAUUAGUUUUUAGAUUUUUGAGUUACUUUUUGAUGUAUAAUGUAUUACAUUUGAGUUACAAUUUUGAGGGAUUCCUUUGGUAAAAUUGACAAAUCAAGUGGUAAUUCAACAUCAAGAAAAAUACGAUGUGUUAAGAUUUGAGUUAGUAUGUUUUUUUGUUUUUCAACUAAAACCCUACGUUCAUUUUUGGCUAUAUUAAACAUUUUGUUUUCUAAAUUAAUUUAAUAGUUAUAUAUGUUUACACUCGCCGGAUGAGAGAGAGAGAGAGAGAGAGAGAGAGAGAGAGAGAGAGAGAAGGAAGUAGUUGAUAUAUAUAUAUGUAUCUUAUUUUCAAUGUCUACCAGUAGUGUGUACAAAAGAUCUCAUAAAGUCCACGUAAGAAGUGUAAACUAUCAAAUGAUGACCAUUUUAUGAAUGAAUUUAAUCUAUAUUAAAUAUACAUAAACCCGUAUAUGAUACUAUUGUGAAUGUGAUGAUAAAAAGAUAAAAUGAUCGUUAUUUGAAUCUUUGAUGACCUAACUAACUUCAUCUGGAGAGAGAGAGAGAGAGAGAGAGAGAUGAGGGAGAGAAGAAGGCAAAUAUGUUUUUAUAUAAAACUUUUAUGACGGAAAAGGGUCGUUAGAAUUCCGUCGAAAUAUUUUGGUAUUUGGCAGUUCACAAAAAUUUUGGUUGUUCCUUUUCCCAAGUACAUUAAAAUUCCGAUGAAAUUACGAUGACCUUAUAUUUUUCGUCGAACUUUGUGUUAAUUGGUCAACUGACCAAGUCGGAAACAAGAAUAUGCUAUAUUCGUCAGAAGUUUUUCAGAAAAAUACUUUCAAAAUUCUGACGAAUAUAGAAUAUUCUCUGCAUGCUUUUCAAUUGGUUGAAAAAUAGAUCCAUCAGAAUUUUGUCGGUAUAUUCCAAUUAAAAAGAGGGUUGGGGUUUCAAAACAAUUGAAAUUUGACCCACAAUAAACUUUAUAACUUUUUGAUAACUUAGAAGGAGUUAUCUGCAUGUUUAAGUAUAUAAGUGUUUAUACGAGAUCAUAUUACAAAUAAUUGAUAUUGUAAGUUGGAUUCUCGAAAUAUGUUUUUUAAGUAUAUAAAUGCUUAUGAGAGAUAAUACAUAUCCGCGGAUAUAUUUGUAGAGGAUUUUAUAACUUGUAAAAAUGGAAUGCUUUUUAACUCACAUCCUAUUAUACACUUAAUAUGUGUUUUUUUGACCUCAUAGGUAUCCGGUUUUACAUUAAUAUUAACUAAAUCAUAUCGGAAACAUUUAUUCGCUGGAAUUCCAUCGGAAUAUUCCGACAAAAUUCCGACGACAUUGGUAUAUUCCGUUGGUAUAAUUCCGAUGGAAAUGAAACCCCAUACCGAAACACCAAAAUAAGUGUUUUCGUUGGAAUUUCGUUUGAAUAUACCGACAGAAUACCGACGAAAUAAAGAAAUUUUUGAAUAUUAAAUAAUUUUGGAAUACAUUGUAAAUUUCUUAAGGCCAACAACCAAAAAAAUACAAAUAUUUUAUUCAACUCCAACAACCAAUACAUAAAAAAACUACACAAUUGAAAGUUAAAUAUAUGAUUACAGAUUUUCUAAAUAUGUUAAUCUACCCAUAAUCCGAAGAAUAAUCAGACGGACAUGAAUCCGAAUCUUCGUCAAACUCUCCAACCUCAGCAUCUGACUUGAAGUGUACAACAGCAUCAUUUCCAAACUCGGUAAAAUCGCAACAAGUUAAAAAUUUCUAAUCUUCAACUAGACUUACGCUGAUUCUAGAGUUUGGUUGCAAUGUGUCAUGAUCAGAACUUCCAAAUAUAAUCUUGAUUAUUGAAGUUUUGAACACUUAUGGUAUUCUUUGUUUUAUCCUAGAGUUUGAAACUGAAUACAACAUAGAGUAAGGAGUGAACUCUGGACGAGUGGCUGACUCAUUUGGUGCUAAAAAGACAAUAUUUCAAGUACUUUGAUAGUUUGUGUUCUUCUUGUUUAAGUCUUCAAGUAUUUUCUGUUUCUGGUGUGAUUUGAAAACUUUGUUUCAUGGAGCUAUGUUUGUUUCAUUUUCUGUGUUGGAAAAUUAUGUUUUAUUUCCUGGCUUGUUUUGCUUUGACAUUUUGAUUAAUGAGUCUGGUUUCAUUUAACAUUUCAUUUUCUAGAGUUUUUUUAUUUUAUUUUGGUUAAUCAGAUGUCGUUUGGGUAACAAGUCUAGUUUCAGUUUUUAGUUAAAUAGGGUAAUAUUUAACCGAACCAAAUUUUACCCAUUUUUGGGUUAUAUAUGGUUAGUUUCAUCAAAAAAUUUAACCGAUCCGAAACUGAACAAUACAUCGACCAAACACUAUUUGGAUACAUUUUUCAAAUAACCAAACUACUCAGAACCAACCUGAUUACCCAAAAUGUCAGGCCUAUCAGAAACAUGUUUUGAUACCAAUUGAAAGUGUGAAUGAGGCUAGAGUAAAGUGCCGAAAACAUUAUUUUCCAGUUUACUAGAAUAAAAACAAAUACAACUAAUUUGUAAACCCGUAAAUCAAGUACAAUCCUCCUAAAAUGCCGUUGUUUUCUAUUGCAAGAACUCAUUAGGGUAACCUAAUUGUAAUCUAAAAAUCCCCAAGAGCCUAGAAUUCAAUUCUAGAAUUCUCUCAAAGUUUGUUAACACCUAGCGGACAGCAAUGACACCAAACGCUUGAUCACACAAGCACACAAAUCUCUAUCGGUUUUCUUAUUCUCCAAAGUCCAUUAUUCUUUAUAAGGCUCAUGCUCCUUGUAUAGAAUACCUAAACCUGCAUCACAAGUUCUUCCCAGAAAAUUUUCCUUAUUUUUAAAUUAUAUUUCUUUUUUCCUUUUUUUUCCUGCAAACAAACUUCUAUUUUACUUAAAGUAAAUAUUCAGUUGUUAAAAGGUCUUGUUUAUGUAGAUGUUCUAGUUCACAUUUGCAACGCAGCAAUGUUUUACUUAACUACAAUUAAGAAUUAAGAAAUAUAUAUAUAUGUGUGUAUCUCUUAUAUAUUAAAAGAAAAACAUUACAACAUUUGAGGUAUACACAUAUCAUCACCAUAAUAAGUUUCAGAAUCCUAAAAAAACAGAUUGGUUCAUCUAAAUAUAUAAUAAGUUUUUUAUUAAAUUAAUCAUAAUUCAUCAUUAAUAUUCAUCAUUCUUUCCUUAAAUAAAAAUUACAAAAUUUUCUAAUGUGGCUAAAGUAUAUAUGAAAAUUAAUAAUACAGAUUUAAUAAAAAUCAUUGUAUCAUCUAUCAUAUUUGUUUAAUUUCAAAUUAUUAAAAUAAAUUAAACGACCACAUUAACCAUAUAAUAAAAAUUUAGAUUUUUCUGUAUAUGUUAUAUAUUUUUUUUAAAACGACCAUCAAUUAUUAAAACUGUCAAAACUCUCACAUUCAAAUUAUUGUGAUCCAUUGUUUAAGAUUUUUCCUAUGAUAAGAUACAAAUGCUUACAAAAUAAUUUAAUUAAAAAAUCUGAUUUAAUAAAUAUUAAGAUUAAAAAAUAUAUAUAUUAAUAUCUUUUAAAUUAAACUAUAUAACAUAUAGAAUACAUAAAUAUUUUAAUUUUGAAAUUUGUUUUGAAUUUUUUUUUCUUGAUAAAUAUUUGAACAACUAUUGACAAAUUAAUAUUUAAACUUAAAAUAUUUCAUUGAUUUUUUUAAAAAAUAUAUAAAUUAAUAAAAUUAUUAAUUUCAGAGUGAAAAUUUUGUUAUCAACGAUUUAAAGUUUUUGGUUAUAAAAAUAUACAAAUGAUCAAAAAACCUUAUGAGUAAAAACAUCAUUUAAUAGAUAUCAAUAUUAAAAAUAAAUUAUAUAUAUAUAUAUAUAUAUGUUAUUAUCAUUUUUUUUGGACAUUGAUACUGGUGAAAAAAAGGGCAGAGCGAGUGAAAAAAAAAAGCAGAGUCGUCGUCUUUUCACCUUCUCCGGCCGCGGCCUCUCGCCGUUGGUUCCGUGAGAAGGUGGUUGCAUGUUUCUUCUAGUUUUAUUCUCUUUUUAGUUUUCGAUGGUCUCAAAUCUGAAUAGAAGCUUCAUGUCUUCGGAUUGAAGUGAAGAGAUUCAGAUCUGGACGCAACAGACAUCGAUCUUGUCAGAUCUAUGGCCUGUGGUGGUUGGCUAGUGGUUACCGGCUGUAUGGAGAAGAAUCGUGUUAAGUAAGGCUUGGGUGGCCUUGCUGUGGUGUGGAGGCGCGUAGAAGGCGCGUGCUGAGCCCUUUCAAAGUCCAGUGGCGAGUUUAAGUUGGAAUUGGAGGAGGUCAGUGGAGUACAGGCGUAGAGGAGGAGGAGGAGGCGCAGUCUACAGCAACGGUUAUCUAUUAGCUAACAGUCCGGUUUGUUUCUUGUAUGAAUGGGUUUGAGUCUCGUCUAGAUGUUUGUAGUCAUCUGCCUUUAUGGUCUGUGUCUUCUAGUUUAUGUGUUGUUUUCUAUAUUUUAAUCUUUGGCUCCAGAUAGUAUUGUUUACUAUGCUGGCUACUGGCUCCGGAAGAAUCUUUGUCUUGCCGGCUUAAUGUAACCUUUGUUCAAGUUUCAAUAUUAAUCCAACAGAUGACAAAAAAAAAUGUUAUUAUCAUUUAAAAAUUGAAUUAUAUAUCAUAUAAAAUAGAAAGUGAUUGUUUUGGUUAAUAUAAUUUAUUAUACCAGUUUAAUUAUAUACAUAAUAGUUAAUGAAUUUUUAUUUAUUCUUUAUUAUUUCUUAAAAGGUAAAAGAACAUAUAAUACAUAAUAUAUAUAUUAUAAUGUUCAUCUUCCGCAAGGCGCAGAUUUUCACUUAGUAUUUGUUAAAUAUUAUGAUAAAUUCUUAUCCACAUGCCCUAUCUUAUGUAUGCACACCGUCCACAAAUGUGUCCAUCAAAGAUUUCAAGUGGACCAUCCUUUCCCCCAGUGGUUAACAAUGUGUGUGGGUAUUAUAGAAAAGUAGAAAAUUUAUUAUCUUUUUCCUUCAAAAGAAUUAACAAAAAUAAGAACAAAGAUAUCUAGGAAGUAGUUUAUAUAUAUAUAUAAUACAUGUAUCUUAUUUUCAAUGUACCAGUAGUGUGUACAAAAGAUCUCAUAAAGUCCACGUAAUAAGUGUUAAAUAUCAAAUGAUGACUAUUUUAUGAAUGAAUUGUAAUCUAUAUUAAAUAUACAUAAACCCGUAUAUGAUACUAUUGUGAAUGUGACGAUAAAAAGAUAAAAUGAUUGUUAUUUGAAUCUUUGAUGACCUAACUAACUUCAUCUGAAAUUAUAUUCCUAGGUACUGCUGUUUUCCUAUUCUACAAAAUAUACCACUAACAUUAUCUAACCUGUUUUGUUAAGUUAUUUUGACUGUUUUCCUAUCCCAAUAAGAGUUGAAAACCUAAUAGCCAUCGGAAAGUAACCAAGACGAAGAAGCAAUAUAGAGAUUACAUGUUCACAAUCACACAUUUGACAAUCCGAUAUAGAAUGUCUGAGAAACAGAAAACCAAAGGGAAAAGAAACAGACAAUUCGAAAUGAAAUGAGCAGAGAUUAUUAUGUGAAUGUCAUAGCAAAUUAAGCACCGGUGAAGCUUGGUGGUUUGUAGGCGAUGAAACUGAUGCACUGAACUUGACGGUUGUUGUCAAAUCCGAUGAUCCUGAUGAAAGCGUUAGGGUACUCCGUUUUGCAUUCUUGGACUUCCUUCAACACUUGAGCAGAGUCAGUGCAUCCGAACAAGGGAAGCUUCCACAUUGUCCAGUAACGUCCAUCAUAGUAUCCGGGUGUGCUUCCGUGCUCACGGUACACAAAUCCAUGCUAUACAAACAUGAGAGUACCAUUCAUAAUAAGAAUUCACAUGGUCUAAUAAAGGAUGUUUAGAUCCAAAAAUUAUUUUUUCUUUAUUACCUCCAACUCGAAUUCAACACAAGGAAUCCACUUGUUGCGGAGAAGGUAGUCGACUUCCUUACCCAAUUCAACUUCGGUAAGGUCAGGAAGGUAAGAGAGGGUCUCAAACUUCUUCUUUCCAACUGGUGGCCACACCUACAAAUUAAAUCACAUUUCCAGUUGGUGAAUACUAAGUCACGUUUGUAUAUAUUGUUUUGGACAUUAAUUGAUCCUAGGUACGUUAUAUACAGUUUUCAAUGGGAUUCAUGUUCGAAUGCACCAGUUACGUGUAAUAAAGGACAGGCCUGCAAUUAUUCUAGAUGGCCACACCUACAAAUUAAAUCACAUUUCCAGUUGGUGAAUACUAAGUCAAGUUUGUAUAUAUUGUUUUGGACAUUUAUUGAUCCAAGGUACGUUAUAUACAUUUUUCAAUGGGAUUCAUGUUCGAAUGCACCAGUUGCGUGUAAUAAAGGACAUGCCUGCAAUUAUUCUAGUGAUAUUUACCUUCAUGCAG
rnacentral:lncRNA from 1 species